rnacentral:rRNA from 1 species
AAUUAAUAAUUUACUUUUUUUAAUAUAUUUUUAUGAGAAGUAUCUUUUUAUUUAGUAGUUAAAGAAUAAUAUUUUAAUGUGAUAGUUAAUUAGUACUGUGAAGGAAUUGUUGAAAUAAUAUAAAUAUAAUUAUUUAAAAGUAUAAUUAAUUUUUUGUACCUUUUGUAUCAGGGUUAAUUAAAGUUAUUAAUUUAUGUAUUNNNNUCUCGAUUUCAGAAGAGCUAAGUUAUUAUUUUAGUUAGUGUUUUAUAAUUAUUUAUAAUAUAACUUAGAGGAGAGAUUUUAUUCGGUUUUGAAGGUAUCUAGUUUUUUAAGAAUUAAAUUUAAUUUAGUAUUAAUAUUUAAGUUUUUUAUUUAAAUAGAAUUUAUUUAUUGAUAAUAAAAUUGUAGGGGAUAAGCUCUACAUUAAUUUAUAAGACUUCUUUUUAAUAAUUUAUUGUAGGUUUAGAAUUAUCCAUCUUUAAUAAGUUUGUUACAAAUUAUAUUUAUUUAUUUAUUAAUUUGGUUUACUUUAAUUUAAUAUUAAAAUUUUCGGAUUAAUUUUUUGUCCUUAUUAAUAAUGAUUAAAUUAGUAUAAUAAAAUGGUUAAUUUAUUUAUUCUUCUAUAAUAAAGUCAAGGAACUCGGCRAAGAAAGUCAUCGCCUGUUUAGCAGCAUCAUGUCCUUUAUGAGUUUAAUUGAAGGUCUGACCUGCCCGGUGAUAGAGUUUAACGGCCGCGGUAUAUUGACCGUGCAAAGGUAGCAUAAUCAUUAGUCUUUUAAUAGAGGGCUGGAAUGAAAGGUUUAACGAGGAACUAACUGUCUCACUUUAUUUGUAUUAAAAUUUAAUUUUUUGGUUAAAAAGCUAAAAUAAUAUUGGAAGACGAGAAGACCCUAUAGAUCUUUAUAUAGUUCUACAUAAUUUUAUUUAUAUUAUAAUAUUUAUUUAAUGCUAUAUUUCGUUGGGGUGACGAAAAUAUAUAAUUAACUUUUUCAUUUAUAGAACAUUGAUUUAUGAUUAUUAGAUCCAUUAUUAUUGAUUGUUAGAUUAAGUUACCUUAGGGAUAACAGCGUAAUUUUCCUCCAGAGCUCAUAUUUACGGGAAAGUUUGCGACCUCGAUGUUGGAUUAAGAUUAUAGAUAGGUGUAGUCGCUUAUUUUAUAGGUCUGUUCGACCUUUAAAUUCUUACAU